GACGAACGCUGGCGGCGUGCCUAAUACAUGCAAGUCGAACGAGAGCGACCGGUGCUUGCACUGGUCAAUCUAGUGGCGAACGGGUGAGUAACACGUGGGUAACCUGCCCAUCAGAGGGGGAUAAAAUCCGGAAACGGAUGCUAACACCGCAUAGGUCUUCGAGCCGCAUGGCUUGAAGAGGAAAAGAGGCGCAAGCUUCUGCUGAUGGAGGGACCCGCGGUGCAUUAGCUAGUGGGUGGGGUAACGGCUUACCAAGGUCGUGAUGCAUAGCCGACCUGCGAGGGUGAUCGGCCGCAUUGGGACUGGGACACGGCCCAAACUCCUACGGGAGGCAGCAGUAGGGAAUCUUCCGCAAUGGACGCAAGUCUGACGGAGCAACGCCGCGUGAGUGAAGAAGGUUUUCGGAUCGUAAAACUCUGUUGUUAGAGAAGAACAAGUGCUAGAGUAACUGUUAGCGCCUUGACGGUAUCUAACCAGAAAGCCACGGCUAACUACGUG
rnacentral:rRNA from 1 species